UAUGGAUAUCUACUCAAGAUCAGUCUGGAAUAGUCCUCUUUGGUAUUGAUUUUUUUCUCUAAGAUAAAUCAGCCUGCAAAUCUGAACAAAGCCUGGAUCACGAUCAACUCUUUGAUCAUUUCCUUGAUCUUCUUCUUCUCUUCUUCUCUUUUUUUUCUUUCCUUGAUUAUGAAGCAAUUAAGAUCUAAAAACCAGCAAGCAAAGGAGCACCCAAACACUUUUUGGGCAUGGAGAUUGGGACGCCCAAACUCCUUGGGCGUUGGACUUCAAGGGGAGAAGAGAG
rnacentral:lncRNA from 1 species